rnacentral:rRNA from 1 species
AGUGAACGCUGGCGGUAGGCCUAACACAUGCAAGUCGAACGGCAGCACAGUAAGAGCUUGCUCUUACGGGUGGCGAGUGGCGGACGGGUGAGGAAUACAUCGGAAUCUACUUUUUCGUGGGGGAUAACGUAGGGAAACUUCCGCUAAUACCUCAUACGACCUACGGGUUAAAGCAGGGGAUCUUCGGACCUUGCGCGAUUGAAUGAGCCGAUGUCGGAUUAGCUAGUUGGCGGGGUAAAGGCCCACCAAGGCGACGAUCCGUAGCUGGUCUGAGAGGAUGAUCAGCCACACUGGAACUGAGACACGGUCCAGACUCCUACGGGAGGCAGCAGUGGGGAAUAUUGGACAAUGGGCGCAAGCCUGAUCCAGCCAUACCGCGUGGGUGAAGAAGGCCUUCGGGUUGUAAAGCCCUUUUGUUGGGAAAGAAAAGCAGCAGGUUAAUACCCCGCUGUUCUGACGGUACCCAAAGAAUAAGCACCGGCUAACUUCGUG